CUGCCUGUGCCUUCUCUUUUCACCUUGCCCCUGUGAUGGUGAGCUCCAUUGUAGAUGAGUCACCAAAACAUUUUGUAUUUUUCACAAUGCAGGUGACACAGGAACACAGACAUGGAUGGGCCUUACUGAAAUACGAGGCAGAGGAAACAAGGGCAGGGUGUGGUGCUGAGUUGUGGACCCAUUAGGGACCAGGCAGGCCAGCUGCUGGCUCCGCCUCAUUUCCUCCAAGAAGACUGGUGGGCACUGAAGAAACUUCAUCUUGAGUCAAUGGCAACGAUGGCCACUGAACAACCCUGCCCUUCACCUCAACUGCUACAAAGUAUUCCAGACCAUGGACAAGAGGACAGUGGAAUCAACUUUCCCCAUGUUGGGUCAAUGGUCAAAGAGGUACCAAGUUCCAUACAGCCUGGACUUCGAUGGAGCAACCAGAUACCCCAGGACUUGGCAGCAUCCCAGCUUUCUCAGGUCCUCCAAAGAUGGUCAACACCCUCCAUGUUAGCAGGAAGCAGUCUUGAGACUUCGACGCCCUUAUUCCUUAAUCUGCCAUGUCUAACACCCCACCUUUUUAAUAAUAAGUAAAGGUGGGAUUGAAAGGUUCAGGCAUUAUGCUGGCCUGCCCCUGUCACCUGGCAGAAUCCACUCAGGCAGCACCCUGGUCAUCCCAGGGUUCCAUGGGAACUAAGUCUGCACACAGGUAUAGAGGACCCCUUUAAAAGAUAGACCCCUGCCCACUUACACUCUCUUCUCUCUCUGCCUCUCUCUCUGCUUCUUCUCCUCUCUUCUAUUUCUCUCUCACUCACUCUCCAUGAAAUAAUAAACUGGUU
rnacentral:lncRNA from 1 species